rnacentral:rRNA from 1 species
AUGAACGCUAGCUACAGGCUUAACACAUGCAAGUCGAGGGGCAGCAUGGUCUUAGCUUGCUAAGACUGAUGGCGACCGGCGCACGGGUGAGUAACACGUAUCCAACCUGCCGUCUACUCUUGGACAGCCUUCUGAAAGGAAGAUUAAUACAAGAUGGCAUCAUGAGUCCGCAUGUUCACAUGAUUAAAGGUAUUCCGGUAGACGAUGGGGAUGCGUUCCAUUAGAUAGUAGGCGGGGUAACGGCCCACCUAGUCUUCGAUGGAUAGGGGUUCUGAGAGGAAGGUCCCCCACAUUGGAACUGAGACACGGUCCAAACUCCUACGGGAGGCAGCAGUGAGGAAUAUUGGUCAAUGGGCGAGAGCCUGAACCAGCCAAGUAGCGUGAAGGAUGACUGCCCUAUGGGUUGUAAACUUCUUUUAUAAAGGAAUAAAGUCGGGUAUGCAUACCCGUUUGCAUGUACUUUAUGAAUAAGGAUCGGCUAACUCCGUGCCAGCAGCCGCGGUAAUACGGAGGAUCCGAGCGUUAUCCGGAUUUAUUGGGUUUAAAGGGAGCGUAGAUGGAUGUUUAAGUCAGUUGUGAAAGUUUGCGGCUCAACCGUAAAAUUGCAGUUGAUACUGGAUAUCUUGAGUGCAGUUGAGGCAGGCGGAAUUCGUGGUGUAGCGGUGAAAUGCUUAGAUAUCACGAAGAACUCCGAUUGCGAAGGCAGCCUGCUAAGCUGCAACUGACAUUGAGGCUCGAAAGUGUGGGUAUCAAACAGGAUUAGAUACCCUGGUAGUCCACACGGUAAACGAUGAAUACUCGCUGUUUGCGAUAUACAGCAAGCGGCCAAGCGAAAGCGUUAAGUAUUCCACCUGGGGAGUACGCCGGCAACGGUGAAACUCAAAGGAAUUGACGGGGGCCCGCACAAGCGGAGGAACAUGUGGUUUAAUUCGAUGAUACGCGAGGAACCUUACCCGGGCUUAAAUUGCAGAUGAAUUACGGUGAAAGCCGUAAGCCGCAAGGCAUCUGUGAAGGUGCUGCAUGGUUGUCGUCAGCUCGUGCCGUGAGGUGUCGGCUUAAGUGCCAUAACGAGCGCAACCCUUGUUGUCAGUUACUAACAGGUUCUGCUGAGGACUCUGACAAGACUGCCAUCGUAAGAUGUGAGGAAGGUGGGGAUGACGUCAAAUCAGCACGGCCCUUACGUCCGGGGCUACACACGUGUUACAAUGGGGGGUACAGAGGGCCGCUACCACGCGAGUGGAUGCCAAUCCCCAAAACCUCUCUCAGUUCGGACUGGAGUCUGCAACCCGACUCCACGAAGCUGGAUUCGCUAGUAAUCGCGCAUCAGCCACGGCGCGGUGAAUACGUUCCCGGGCCUUGUACACACCGCCCGUCAAGCCAUGGGAGCCGGGGGUACCUGAAGUGCGUAACCGCGAGGAGCGCCCUAGGGUAAAACUGGUGACUGGGGCU